GCGAGCGCUCCAGGCCUCCUCCCGACCCUGCGCCGUGCCCAGCCCCUCUGCCCUCCUGUUACCCCGGGACCUCGGGCCGCCAGCCCCUUCCACGUGCAGGCUCCUGCUGCUCUCGCGGGGGCUUUUCGUGUGUCCCCCGAGAUGUCGAGGAAGCCAGAACAGAGUCCAGCUCUCCCACGGGUGGCUGUGAUCCUUCUUCCUGGGGAGUCCUGCUGUCCCUGACUAGGGGCACCUGCCCACCUGUCAGCUGCUCCUCCCUCGGCUGGUCCUCCUGGGCUCUGAUGGCCCCAACAUUUCUAGCUCUUCUCACCCAUAGUGCCCCGAGCUUCAUGCAGCUGCAGCAGGUACUGUGCCCGUCUGCCUGGCUUUUGUGUGUUUGUGUCUUGACUCUAUAACCCGUGCACACGGACUGGGCUGUGGUGUAGUGGGGAUGGCAGGAGCCCUGGGAACAUGCGGGCUGGGCAAGGUGAGGCAGGCUGAUUGCUGUGGCUCCCCCACCACCAGCCCCAGCCACAACAAACUGACAAAGGAAGAGGACAGUGGUGCCCUGGAGCCCUGGGGUCAGAGAGAGGAGGACAAAGCAGGUGUGUAGCCCAGGGAAUGACAGCACCCCUUCCGAGAAGACAGGGAAGGUGCAGACAUGGCCAGGUUCUGAGCUAGAAAACUGUCGGCAGGGGGCUGAAGCUGAGGAUAGUCAUUGCCAAGGAACAGCCUCCGUCACAGAGGAGACGCACAGAUGCGGUGACGAGGGAGGGAUGAGGGGCUGGUGACCGCUGGGAACAGAUGUGUGAGGCAGAGUCUCCAGGCAUGGUCUGCGGGGCGGUUUGAUGAUACUAGGACAUCUCUCAGAGUAGAAGGACGUCCCGACCUGCAGACUGGAAAGCCCCCAGAGCUCCCGGCAGGACGUAUGAGGGCCAGCCCACAACCGGGUCUGUCCUGAUACAACUGAACGCCACAGUGUCUUAGCUCCUUUACUGUUGCUAUCAAGAAAUACCUGAGGCUGGGAAAUUUAUGAAGAAUCAUGAGGUAAUUUGUAUAUUUGUCCACAGUAAACCUCAUGUUGAAUUGUAAACCCCAAGGCUGGAGGUGGCUGGGUCAUGGGGGUGGAUUUCUCAGGAAUGUUUAGCACCCUCCCCUUGGUGCUGUCCUUGAGAUAGUGAGUUCUCCUGAGAUCUGGUUAUUUAAAAAGUGUGGGGCACCUCUCUCUCUCGCUCACUCGCUCGCUCGCUCCUGCUCUGGCCAUGUGACGUGCCCGCUCCCCCAUUGCCUUUCACCAUGAUCGGAAGCUUCCGGAGGCCUCCCCAGAAGCUGAGCAGAGGCCAGCACCAUGCCUCCUGUAAAGCCUGCAGAACCAGGAGCCAAGUAAACCUCUUUUCAUUAUUUAUUUAUUUAUUUGUUUUGACACAGGGUCUCGCUCUGUUGCCUAGGCUGGAGUGCAGUGGCGUGAUCUCGGCUCACUGCAACCUCUGCCUCCUGGGCUCAGGUGAUCCUCCCACCUCACCCUCCUGAGUAGCUGGGACUACAGGCACACGCCACCAUACCUGGCUAAUUUUUCAUAUUUUUUGUAGACAUGGGGUCUUACUGUUGCCCAGACUGGUCUCAAACUCCUGACCUCAAGUGAUCUAUCCACCUUGGCCUUCCAGAGUGCUGGGAUCACAGGCAUGAGCUACCAUGCCUGGCCCUCUUUUCUUUUAAAAUUGCCCAGUCCUAAGUAUUUCUUUAUAGCAAGGCAACCACAGCCUAACACAGCUCACGAUGCUGAGGUCUCAAAAGUUCAAGAUCGGGCGUCUGCCUCUGGUGAGGGCCUUGCUGCCGCUGCCUCCACUCAUGGCAGAAGGUGAAGGGCAGCUGGAGUGCGUGGAGACGGUGUGCGAGAGGGAGCCGGAGUGUGUGGAGACCGUGUGCGAGAGGGAGCUGGAGGAGUUGGGAAGUACAGGCCUUUUUUUUUUUUUUUUUUAAGAUGGAGUCUCGCUCUGUUGCCCAGGCUGGAGCACAGUGGCGCAAUGCCGGCUCACUGCAACCUCCGCCUCCCGGGUUCAAGCGAUUCUCCUGCCUCAGCCUCCUGAGUAGCUGGGAUUAGAGGCAUGCGCCACUAUGCCCGGCUAAUUUUUGUAUUUUUGUAGAGACGGGGUUUCACCAUGUUGGUCAGGCUGAUCUUGAACUUCUGACCUCGUGAUCCGCCCGCCUUGGCCUCCCAAAGUGCUGAGAUUAUAGGCAUGAGGCACCGCGCCGGCCGUGCAGGUGUUUUUAAAAGCCCCUCUUGCUGGAACUAGUAAGAGUGAAAACUCACUCAUUACCAAGAGGACAGCACCAAACUGUUCGUGAGGAAUCUGCCCCCAUGACCCAGACACCUCCAACACUGGGGCUCAAAUUUCAACCUGAGGUUUGAAGGGGACCAACACCCAAACUAUAGAAACAGGGAAAGAGGAAAGUUUACGGAUACCCAUUUAGAAAGAAUCUGCUAACAAAGGGAAAGAAUCAGGCUGGGCG
rnacentral:lncRNA from 1 species